rnacentral:lncRNA from 1 species
UCUAUUUUAAUUUCAUUAUUAUAAUUGGAAUUUUAAUAUAUUUAUCAUGCUUCUCUAUCUGGUCGGUGUGGAUUUAUUCCAUUCCCAUUUGACUCGUUCCCUUGAAGCCAUAGCAAUUUGUGUUGCUCUUUCAUUUUAUUUUAUGCAACCAUUUUACAUAUGGUUUCAUUACAACACUUGAGCAACUAAAUACCCUCUAUUGUCUUUGAAAACUGUAUUCUCUUCCAUUUUUUAAUCCCUGACAAAUUAUGUUUUAGUUGAUGCUAUGUUCUUAAUGAGUAAUUUAUUUAUUAACAAAUAAAUACCUUCGGCUGUACUGUCCUUCAUGAACAAAUUUGGCCUUCUAAACAAAUUGUUUAGAUAGACUUUGUUGUUUAGGAUGGACCGUGUAGCCUAAGUUAUUUUAUGUUAAGUAUAGUCAAGCAAGAAUGUGGUGGCCGACAACCUUUUGUGCUUCGAGAAGGAUGAUAUAGUGUCUAGUCCACUUUGUUACAACACUUUUGCAAUAAUUUUCUAUUAAAUCUCAUGAAUAUUUUAAGUUUUAACAAAGAAGACAGUUUAUUCAUACAUGUUAAAUGAGCAAGUCUACUCUUUAAUCCACGAAUUUGCAAGGCAAGUUAUUUUACUCCUGUCUUACAAGUUAAAAAAAUAAUGCUAAUUACAAAAUUUGUUUCACACAAUUUCGAUUGUGUUCUAUUUCUUGGUUAAAUUUCAGUAUUCCCUUUUAACCGAAAAGCUAUUGAUAAUAUUGGUUAACCAACAUCCUCUUUAUAUAGAAGGUAAAUAAAUUUGGUCAUUUUGUUAAAUGUAGCACAACCACUGACUUACCAAGAAUAAACUUAUUGACCAAAAGGAUAUAGUAAACCAAUAUUGGUAAAAAAAGUACCAUAGUUCAUAAAUAAAGAGAGUUUAAGACUGAAAGCUUAUACGGCUAUUGUUCAAGCCUCCUAAGUUUAGUUUUCAUCUACACACUAAUAAAAUGAAUGGCUGGCUAGAAGUAGCUUCCAAGAAUGUGCAUACAUGAUUCACCACGCCUCUACAUGUCAAAUAAAAUCAUAAAAAUAUAAUAUGAGUAUAAACGAUGGAAUUUUGGAUUUUAAGAGGCGGCGUUUCGAAAGAAGUUGCUUCUAUGGGAGUGGUUUUUGUUUUUUUUUUUUCUGAUUUUCAUCCUAUAACAAAAGAAAACAUGAAAAUAUUAAAAACAAUCAUAAAAAGUUAACACACACUAAUAGUCAAAAAGUGAGUCACAACUCACAAUGACUGGACUGACCAUCUCCAACACACCUCAAUGCAUCAAAGUCUAUAUAUAAUUCCUGACUUUCAUUUUCAUAUGAUCUAAGAUCCACUCCGAGAGUAAUUUAAAUCUAGAAAUUUUGCUUUUUAGUCAUUUCCAAGACAAUAAUUGAACAACAUUGUUGUUUUGACUUCAAAAUCGAUGAUUUUGUGCAUGGUGACAAACUGAUACACGAGACACAAUUUCGGAAUCAUGUUGGAAUUGACAAUUAUUUUUGAGGUACAAUGGAAGGAUUUUACUCGAAGCAAAAUCGUGGUAUAAUUUUGCAUUAGUUUGAGUACUAUUUAAUGCUUCAUUGUUCAUUUUUGAGGAAGGGCUUCAAAUAAAGGAGGUAGGGUUGAGUGUCACGGUAACCAAAAUCACCUUCACCAAACUUGUAAGCAAUUGAAAAAUUGUCUGUUGCAGCAGCUAUGGAGCUAAGAUCAAAGAAUGGUAUAUUUGAGUUGUUAAGACAAGGAAACAAACACAUUUAAACAUGUCAAUAGAAUCCAGAAUCCCACAGUGUCAAAUUUGAUAAGAAUUGAACUUACAUUGUUUCCUGGCUUUUAUAAACUAAUACAUGAGCAAGCAAGUAGAAAUGGCUAGUGCUACCACCAUCCCCUUUUUGCCAAGAGAUCCUUAUGGAUGUUUUUUAUACAUAGCUGCAAAUUUAGAAGGAAAAUGUUCAUUGUAAAUUCAAAUCCUACAAAAAUCUCAUACCUAUUAUAGUUAAUGAGAAAACAAUUCAAAUAUUGUCUAAUCACAUUCCGUUGCUCUAAUC